UUUAAUUUUGGUAGUGGCUGCUCUCCAUUAGUUCCUCAUGAUACAGAGAUAGUCAGCAGCUUAUGUAAAACAAUGGAGGAGCAGAACCAGCUCUCUUCUGAAGAAAAUGUGCCAUUUGCUCAACAUCUGUCCAGCUAACUAUCGCUACGGAAGAGAAGUCCACGUACGUCCACCACACAAAUUUUUUUACAAUCCUCCAAAAACUAAACGACAUAUAUAUACAAAAAACCGGCCCAGUCAAACAAUAAACCAGACCCAGUCAAACCCACGUCUAGGUGCCAACGUCGACCAGCCCAUCAUGGAUUUGCAGUUCCACGAUCUUCCAGCGACGUAGCCAACGUCACCCAGCCUCUCGCCGGCCUCUGCCUCCUCUACGGCCGCGUCGGGCUCCUCCUGCCGCUCGCCGGCCUCUGCCUCCUCUACGGCCGUCGGGCUCCUCCUCUACGUCCGCGUCGGGCUCCUCCUCUACGUCCGCGUCGGGGCUCCUCCUCUACGUCCGCGUCGGGUCUCAGCUCCAGCCUCUGCCUCCUCUACGGCCGCGUUGGGGCUCCUCCUCUACGGCCGCGGCGGGUCUCGGGUCCAUGCUCUGCCUCCUCUACAGCCGCGUCGGGGCCGCGUCGGGGCUCCUCCUCUACGGCCGCGGCGGGACUCAGGUCCGGGCUCUUCUGAACCGACCGAUACAUGGUCGACGCUAAGGAAAUUUGGAAACUUCAAGUUACACCAUCCUUGCAUUUAACCCGGGUCAUCCUUCAACACGUGCACUUCAUGAUAUUCGCCAGAAAAUAAUAGGUGGUUGAUUGACAUGGAGUUUGUUCGAGAAUUUAUUGAGAGGAGGUGGGAUUUGCUAGCAAGCAGUCCGUCUACAAAUGAUCCCGACGCAAGAUGUAUACAAAGAAAACUCGACCCAUGUAGUAGAGAUAGCAGAAAUCAGUUGUGUCUAUUACGCAUGAUUGUAUCUUUCAAUUUGUAAGUUUAGUUGUCUCGUGAUGAAGAUCAUAUGUAGUAUUUUUUUAAUGGAGCUUAGUUUUUGUUAGUUUUUGUUAAGUACGUUGUUAUCUGACAUAUUUUUUACUUCAUUAGUAUGAGUGUAUGACCUAGAAUUAGUUCUUCUAUUUUCAUCUAUAUAUUUACAAGCUAUACAUAUAAUGAGACUCCUUGGAAGUUCAUAAAAACAAUUCAACAUCUUCAUUUGUGAGUAUACUCUGGUUUUGUUUCAUGUCUUGUUUCGGCCUUGGGAUCUGACAUGAAGAACUUGUCUUGUCUUGUUUCCACGAAA